GGCACCACAUGCAGAAGUCUGACGGAGCCCGCCGCGUGAGUGAUGAAGGUUUUCGGAUCGUAAAGCUCUGUUGUUAGGGAAGAACAAGUACCGUUCGAAUAGGGCGGUACCUUGACGGUACCUAACCAGAAAGCCCCGGCUAACUACGUGCCACCCGCCGCGGUAA
rnacentral:rRNA from 1 species